CUGAGUUAGGGUGCUCUCUGCGCUCGACCUCCAACCCUUUGUCUACCUGACCAGAUGUUGCUUCGGCAGGCCCGCCGCCUCCUCACGGGGGUAGCCGCCGGGGUCCUUUACCGGUCCCGGGCCCGCGCCUGUCGACGGCCCUCUAUAAACUCUUGCUUAAAACGUGUCGUCUGAGUUUAAUAAACAAAAUCAAAUA
rnacentral:misc_RNA from 1 species